rnacentral:ncRNA from 1 species
UUAAGUAGAGGCGCCUAAUUGAUCAGUAUCAUGCCGGAUGUAUCCAGGUACAGAAGAAGGCAUUGAGAAAGGCAUGCAGGCCGAAGUUUCUGUUCUUCCUGAAGGGAACGGGAGCUGGGCAUACAGCAAAGAACUGUAUGACUGUCAUCAUUUGAUGGAGUGCUGCUUGA